ensembl:lncRNA
GCGUAAAAUCGCACCCCCCCUCGGUCUUUACUAUCAGAGAGACAAAUGUAAACAUUGUUCAGCAGGGAGCUGAAGUGUGAUACAUUUUUUGGGACGGAUGUGUCUGUUUCUCGCACGUCUCAAGCUGUUCUGCCAGCACACGCUCAGUUUGAAGGCUAUAUAUUACAUAUGCUCCGAUGGUUGCCUCCUUUUCAGCACCCUUUCCGUCAAGGCUCUCCGUCACUCCCGCAAAACUAUUUUGGUUCUCCAUCUGUUGAUUUAUUAUCCAUAAAGGUAAUGCGCCAGAACCCCGUCAGAUCUUUCUGAUGAAGGUGUCGGCCGGUAAGCUGGUGCAGAGGAGUGGGACGGCGCCUGCUUUAUAUUUGCAGCUUUGCGUUUUAUUCCACUUGUACCAGCGGAUGUUCUUUUUUAUUAACUUGUUUUUGUGGGACUUUCUUAAAUGUGGUUUCCGCAUUACAUCUGUAAAUAUUUCACGUAGGGAAUUGCUAACGCUUGCAGUUCGCGCUUGUGGCUGUGCGUGCCUGGUGAUGCGAUUCUUAAAGGCGGGAGACUGUCUCAUCCUCCUUCCUGGACCAGAGGUGAGAGGCGCGAUAUCCGCGGAUGUCCAAGGGUUUUUCUUUUUAAAACGAAUGCAAAUUCCAUUGCAGAAUAAGCGGUGCACCUUGACAAACGAAGCGCCUCGAAGGACUGGUUCAGAUAUGAGUUAUCGGCGCUGCCUCGACGAGGGCUGAGAGUGAGCCUCGCCUCGGCGGUGGAAAUGCACAGCCGUAGGCGCGUUACACCGAAGCUCUGCUUCUGCUGCCAACCAGAAGAUGGAGAAGAGCUCCACCGCCGAAACCCACCCUGCGCUCCAUACUGCGUGGACACGGCUAAAGUGCUACCCUCCGGGUAGGUGAUCACGCACCCUCGUCAGGAAGGCUGGGGUGACUAAGUCACGGCGAUGACGCUCGGCCCUCCCCUUCUUGGCUCAAGGUCCUGAAUCGGUGACCGAGACAUUGCGAACGCGCUCCCCGUACUGGAGAAGUCACUUCACAAAUGCACCUAUGCUUACUAUGCCUCCAAGAAAGGUGUAGCUUUAUUUGCCAGAGAGGACUGGAUCAUUAACUUAGAAAUUUCAGCGUAAAUUGCUUUCGUGACAACUGAACUCGUCCACCGUUAUCUGGUCUCCGGAUCCGUGGUUUUCCACUUAGCUCGUCUGUUAUUAUUAAAAUCACAGAUAGUUUAAAUGGUCAGCAUUUUAAUUUUUCUCCUGUCUGCAACAUCCAGGCCCAUGACAUAUGGUCUGGCUUGAUAAAUUGAGAUUACAUUUGGAAAUUGCGCUAAGCGGCUGUAUCGGAGAGAAUGACACACACGGCAUUGUGGGAACCGUGUACCCACGCUCUCGGCUGCGUUCUGCCACUCUGCGCUCUGCUCGUGUGCUCGUAUUUGUGUUUGCUCCUUUGUUUUUCACUCUUGUGCCUCACUUCUCUAAUUAUUAAUUUACUGAGAGGUACCAUCGGGGGGUGUGGUGGCACAGUGGGUUGAACCGGGUCCUGCUCUCGGGUUCGAGUCCCCCUUGGGGUGCCUUGUGGCGGACUGGCGUCCCAAUGUCCCUUCCUGGGUGUGUCCCUUGCGCCCUGUGUUGCCAGGUUAGGCUCUGGUUCCCUGCAACCCCCCCC